GGUGGCUCAGUGGUAGAGCACUCACCUUGCAUGUGAUGAGGCCCUGGGUUCAAUUCCUCAGCACCA
rnacentral:tRNA from 1 species